GUAUACUCUCUUGUUCUGCUUCUAGGGCUCAUUCUUCUGUGUGUUCCCAUUCUCGCUAGUAGUCAAGAGGAAUUCUCAACAUUAAGAGAAAAUGUAGUUUUUGACCAAGAGGAUGUAGAGGCUCUCUUUCCUCACAUCCAAAAGGCGCACGCUCCCAACCACCACAAACAUGGCCAUCAUCACCAUCACAAUCACCACCACCACCACCACCACCACCAUAAGGGCAAACACCACCACCAUCACGCUCAUCCACCUAAGCAUGGUCCCGCUUACAGUGCUCCUGGACCUGCGCCAACAAGCUUAUGAAAGAGAUUAUUUGCAAGAAAAAACAAGACUUCUUAAUGAAUUUAUUGAUGAAUUUAUAGUAUGAAAAGGAGUUUUGUUGACAUUGUUUACUCUUGAUAGCAUGGCCAUUUCUCUUAACGUUACAAAGAGG
rnacentral:lncRNA from 1 species